rnacentral:lncRNA from 1 species
CAACCUUCCCUCACCCUCCACACUAUUGAAGGGUCCUCGCCUGCUGAUGUGUCAGCUUCCCUGUUCCUAGCAAAAGCUUUGGAAUGAACAGAAUCAAACAAAGAUGUCUGAAAAGCCCAGCAGAUGCCUUCUUCAUCCAGCAAAGUCUCAGAAGGCAGAAUUAUUGGUACAAUGACGCAGGGAAUUAAGAGAACUUUCAGGUUAAAUAAAGAAGUGAAACUUAGUUCUUAACUUCUGCAACCGAUCGUAUCCAAAUGUC